rnacentral:rRNA from 1 species
UAGCCAAAGCUUAAAANUCAAAGGACCUGGCGGUGCUUCCACCCACCUAGAGGAGCUGUUCUAUAAUCGAUAACCCCCGAUAAACCUCACCAGCUCUGCUAAUUCAGUCUAUAUACCGCCGUCUUCAGCAAACCCUAAAAAGGAACCACAGUAAGCACAAAUACAUACAUAAAACGUCAGNUCAAGGUGUANCCUAUGAGCUGGAGAAWGRUGGGCUACAUUUCCUGUUAAAGGUUAUCAACACCUAACUUACGAAAAUUACCGUGAAAUCAGUAAUUGAAGGUGGAUUUAGUAGUAAAUUAA